rnacentral:rRNA from 1 species
CGUUGUGGGAMAAGCCUUCGGGUCGUAAACUCCUUUCCCCGGGAAGAAAAAUKUUUCGUGAAUAACGGGAUGACCUGACGGUACCGGGAGAAGAAGCCCUGGCUAACUCCGUGCCAGCAGCCGCGGUAAUACGGAGAGGGCUAACGUUGUUCGGAUUUACUGGGCGUAAAGGGUAUGUAGGUGUCUUGAUAAGCUCUGGGUGAAAUCUCCGCGCUCAACGCGGAAACGAAUCAGAGAACUAUCAGGAUUGAGUUCAGGAGAAGAGAGUGGAAUUCUCGGUGUAGCGGUGAAAUGCGUAGAUAUCGAGAAGAACACCAGCGGCGAAGGCGGCUCUCUAUUCUGAAACUGACACUCAAAUACGAAAGCGUGGGGAGCGAAUGGGAUUAGAUACCCCAGUAGUCCACGCUGUWAACGAUGURYACUUGGUGUAMYYSRUYUAASSRGUGUGYCGMAGCUAACGCGUUAAGURYACCGCCUGRGGAGUACGSYCGCAAGGGUGAAACUCAAAAGAAUUGACGGGGGCCCGCACAAGCAGUGGGGCAUGUGGUUUAAUUCGAUGAUACGCGAAGAACCUUACCCAGACUUGACAUGUAGUGGACAGUGGCAGAGAUGUCAUCUUCCGUAAGGACCGCUACACAGGUGYUGCAUGGCUGUCGUCAGCUCGUGCCGUGAGGUGUUMGGCUAAGUCCKMCAACGAGCGCAACCCUURUCAUUAGUUGCCAUMCWUUUGCGAAAGCAGGWGAGGAACUCUAGUGAGACUGCCYCGGUAACGGGGAGGAAGGUGGGGAUGACGUCAAGUCAUUAUGGCCCUUAUGCCYUGGGCUACACACGUGCUACAAUGGUCGGUACAGAGGGUUGCCAACCCGCGAGGGGGAGCUAAUCCCAGAAAGCCGGCCUCAGUUCGGAUUGGAGUCUGCAAUUCGACUCCAUGAAGUUGGAAUCGCUAGUAAUGGCGCAUCAGCUACGGCGCCGUGAAUACGUUCCCGGGCCUUGUACACACCGCCCGUCACAUCACGGAAGUUGCGUGUACCCGAAGUCGCUGAACCAACCCGCAAGGGAGGAAGGCGCCGA